UACGAAGGUGGCAAGCGUUACUCGGAAUUACUGAGGCAGGUAAAGGCAGGUAGGUGGUUCGAUAAGUCUGUUGUGGAAGCUCCCGGCUUAACUGGGAGAGGCCAACGGAAACUAUCGAACUUGAGUGUAGGAGAGGGUAUUGGAAUUCCCGGUGUAGCGGUGAAAUGCGCAGAGAUCGGGAGGAACACCAAUGGCGAAAGCAGAUACCUGGACUAUUACUGACACUAAGCUGCGAAAGCUAGGGGAGCAAACAGG
rnacentral:rRNA from 1 species